AGAGUUUGAUCCUGGCUCAGGAUGAACGCUAGCUACAGGCUUAACACAUGCAAGUCGAGGGGCAGCAUGGUCUUAGCUUGCUAAGGCCGAUGGCGACCGGCGCACGGGUGAGUAACACGUAUCCAACCUGCCGUCUACUCUUGGACAGCCUUCUGAAAGGAAGAUUAAUACAAGAUGGCAUCAUGAGUCCGCAUGUUCACAUGAUUAAAGGUAUUCCGGUAGACGAUGGGGAUGCGUUCCAUUAGAUAGUAGGCGGGGUAACGGCCCACCUAGUCUUCGAUGGAUAGGGGUUCUGAGAGGAAGGUCCCCCACAUUGGAACUGAGACACGGUCCAAACUCCUACGGGAGGCAGCAGUGAGGAAUAUUGGUCAAUGGGCGAGAGCCUGAACCAGCCAAGUAGCGUGAAGGAUGACUGCCCUAUGGGUUGUAAACUUCUUUUAUAAAGGAAUAAAGUCGGGUAUGGAUACCCGUUUGCAUGUACUUUAUGAAUAAGGAUCGGCUAACUCCGUGCCAGCAGCCGCGGUAAUACGGAGGAUCCGAGCGUUAUCCGGAUUUAUUGGGUUUAAAGGGAGCGUAGAUGGAUAUUUAAGUCAGUUGUGAAAGUUUGCGGCUCAACCGUAAAAUUGCAGUUGAUACUGGAUAUCUUGAGUGCAGUUGAGGCAGGCGGAAUCCGUGGUGUAGCGGUGAAAUGCUUAGAUAUCAUGAAGAACUCCGAUUGCGAAGGCAGCCUGCUAAGCUGCAACUGACAUUGAGGCUCGAAAGUGUGGGUAUCAAACAGGAUUAGAUACCCUGGUAGUCCACACGGUAAACGAUGAAUACUCGCUGUUUGCGAUAUACUGCAAGCGGCCAAGCGAAAGCGUUAAGUAUUCCACCUGGGGAGUACGCCGGCAACGGUGAAACUCAAAGGAAUUGACGGGGGCCCGCACAAGCGGAGGAACAUGUGGUUUAAUUCGAUGAUACGCGAGGAACCUUGCCCGGGCUUAAAUUGCAGAUGAAUUACGGUGAAAGCCGUAAGCCGCAAGGCAUCUGUGAAGGUGCUGCAUGGUUGUCGUCAGCUCGUGCCGUGAGGUGUCGGCUUAAGUGCCAUAACGAGCGCAACCCUUGUUGUCAGUUACUAACAGGUUCCGCUGAGGACUCUGACAAGACUGCCAUCGUAAGAUGUGAGGAAGGUGGGGAUGACGUCAAAUCAGCACGGCCCUUACGUCCGGGGCUACACACGUGUUACAAUGGGGGGUACAGAGGGCCGCUACCACGCGAGUGGAUGCCAAUCCCCAAAACCUCUCUCAGUUCGGACUGGAGUCUGCAACCCGACUCCACGAAGCUGGAUUCGCUAGUAAUCGCGCAUCAGCCACGGCGCGGUGAAUACGUUCCCGGGCCUUGUACACACCGCCCGUCAAGCCAUGGGAGCCGGGGGUACCUGAAGUGCGUAACCGCGAGGAGCGCCCUAGGGUAAAACUGGUGACUGGGGCUAAGUCGUAACAAGGUAGCCGUACCGGAAGGUGCGGCUG
rnacentral:rRNA from 1 species